UUAACUUAUUAUAUAGUACUCAGACGACAUUAACAUUCAGAGUUUGGGUCCUCUGGCAGGCACGCCCCAGCCGAAGCCGGGAGCCCGAAGGCGGCCUGCCAAAGCAACAAAGCGUAAAUAACACAGGGUGGGAGGUCUACCCCGAAGGGCAUGAUCUCUGUAAUGAUCCUUCCGCUGGUUCACCAACGGAAA
rnacentral:misc_RNA from 1 species